AGACAGGGUUUCACCAUAUUGGCCAGGCUGGUCUCGAACUCCUGACUUCGUGAUCUGCCCACCUCGGCUUCCCAAAGUGCUGAGGUUGCAGGCGUGAGCCACCGUGCCCGGCCGCGUUUCCUACUCUUUAAGCUCUGUUAGCUUGGCCUCUGUCCCUGAAGGUGCAGCUUCAAGCUUAGGACCACCCACCAUGCCUAUCCAGGCACCGAGCAAAUGGCCCGGGGCACUAGCGCUUCCCGCCUUCUGAAGGUGGGGCUUGAAUAAGAAGAGGAAUGCGUGGACUGGAGGGAACAAGCAUUUGCGUUUCAGGGGAAAGAACUAAUCAAACAUGUCAAAACUCAGCAGUGGAAAAGAGACAGUAACUACCAGGUGCUGAAGGGCCUGACCAUCACUCAUUAAGAACAGAGGAGGCUGCCUGUUACUCCUGGUGUUGCAUCCCUCCAGACACUCUGCUGUUUCCUGCCUAGGCGUGGCUGCAGCCAUGGCUAGGAAAGCGCUGCCACCCACCCACCUGGGCCAGAGCUGGUUCUGCUCCUGCUGCAGGGACACUGAGCUGGCUAUCUCGGCGCUUCGGGCAAGAACUGCAACAGGCUCUCCUGGGUCCUGCAGGUGUACAGCCGGGCCCCUGCCUUGUGCCUCAGCUCUCGAGAGCUGCUGCUGCCGGGUGACCUGAUCCAACCUGAUAAGGUGCCAUCUUCAGCUACCACUGCAAGGCCCUGAGGGCAAC
ensembl:lncRNA C19orf48P multidrug resistance-related protein